GUCUUUUAGUUAAUUAUUAAAGGUCUAGCCUGCUCCAUGAUUAAUUAAAUAGCCGCAGUAUAUUGACUGUGCGAAGGUAGCAUAAUCAUUAGUUUUUUAAUUGAAAGCUGGAAUGAAUGGUUGGAUGAGAAAGUUUCUGUCUCAUUUUGAUUUUAUUUGAAUUUUAUUUUUGAGUUAAAAAGCUUAAAUUUAAUAAAAAGACGAGAAGACCCUAUAGAGUUUAAUAAAUUUAUUAUUUGGUUUUUUAAGGGUUUAAAAUGAACUAUUUAUUAAUUUAUUUUGUUGGGGUGACAUAAGAAUUAGUUUAACUUCUUAGAUUAAAAACAUUGAUUUGUGAAUAAUGGAUCCUGGUGUCUGGAUUAAAAGAAUAAAUUACCUUAGGGAUAACAGCGUAAUUCUUUUGGAGAGUUCUUAUCAAUAAAAGGGAUUGCGACCUCGAUGUUGGAUUAAAAUUUAACUUUGGUGUAGAAGCUAGGGUUUUAAGUCUGUUCGACUUUUGAAAUUUUACAUGAUCUGAGUUUAAACCGGCGUGAGCCAGGUUGGUUUCUAUCUUUUAUGGUUAAAAUAUUUUAGUACGAAAGGACCAAGUAUUUAAAUAAUAUUUUAUUUUAGAAUAGAAUUGUUAUUUUGGCAGAGUAGUGCGAUAGAUUUAGGAUCUUUAAAUGUAAUUUUAUUACAUAUAACAAUUUUUUUUUUUGAUUUGAGGUUGUUGUUUAUUUCAGUGUUUAUUUUAUUAAUUAUGGUGCUGGUAGGUGUUGCUUUUUUGACUUUGCUUGAACGAAAGGUGUU
rnacentral:rRNA from 1 species